rnacentral:rRNA from 1 species
GUAAGGAAUAUUGGACAAUGGACGCAAGUCUGAUCCAGCCAUGCCGCGUGAAGGAUUAAGGUCCUCUGGAUUGUAAACUUCUUUUAUAAGGGACGAAAAAAGGCUUUUCUAAGUCGUCUGACGGUACCUUAUGAAUAAGCACCGGCUAACUCCGUGCCAGCAGCCGCGGUAAUACGGAGGGUGCAAGCGUUAUCCGGAUUCACUGGGUUUAAAGGGUGCGUAGGCGGGCAGGUAAGUCAGUAGUGAAAUCCUAGAGCUUAACUCUAGAACUGCCAUUGAUACUAUCUGUCUUGAAUAUUGUGGAGGUAAGCGGAAUAUGUCAUGUAGCGGUGAAAUGCUUAGAUAUGACAUAGAACACCUAUUGCGAAGGCAGCUUACUACGCAUAUAUUGACGCUGAGGCACGAAAGCGUGGGGAUCAAACAGGAUUAGAAACCCGGGUAGUCC